rnacentral:rRNA from 1 species
GUGGGGAAUAUUGGGCAAUGGGCGCAAGCCUGACCCAGCAACGCCGCGUGAAGGAAGAAGGCUUUCGGGUUGUAAACUUCUUUUACCAGGGACGAAACAAAUGACGGUACCUGGUGAAUAAGCCACGGCUAACUACGUGCCAGCAGCCGCGGUAAUACGUAGGUGGCGAGCGUUAUCCGGAUUUAUUGGGUGUAAAGGGCGUGUAGGCGGGACGGUAAGUCAGAUGUGAAAUGUAGGGGCUCAACCCCUGAACUGCAUUUGAAACUAUCGUUCUUGAGUGAUGGAGAGGCAGGCGGAAUUCCGUGUGUAGCGGUGAAAUGCGUAGAUAUACGGAGGAACACCAGUGGCGAAGGCGGCCUGCUGGACAUUAACUGACGCUGAGGCGCGAAAGCGUGGGGAGCAAACAGGAUUAGAAACCCGUGUAGUCC